rnacentral:lncRNA from 1 species
UGGUUUCUGGGUACGCGUCUGCGUGUGGAAAAAUUCUAGAAUGCAACGAGUAUAUUAGUGACGUGGCGUAACAAAUCAAUCAAAUUAAUUUUUUUAAAAAUAUAUGUCCUAUCAUAAUUGUAAAAAAGUAUUUUUAUUGUACUUUUAUUUGAAAAAAAAGAAUGUGAUUGGCUUGUUAUUGAUGACGUAGUGCAAGUGUGGCAGUAUAGAAUUCCUCCUGUGUGAGUCCGAUACAAACAACGUGGAGAAGCUGUAUAGGCGCGUGUUUUGUGCGGUACACCGAGAAACGUUGUGUGAGCCACGUAUACCACCUCCGGUUUCCUGUUUCCGGUUUCCGGUUUCCGGUUUCCCCUAACGGAAGUAACCGACGCAAGAGUUGAAACGUCCUCUGAGGUUGUUUUCUAUUGGGACGAGGUAAUAGUUAUUUGGAUAGACCACGUGCAGUGGACCCUCGGUUUUGUUUGAUUCACUCACCCCUUUUAUUUAAACUAUGAAAUCGGAAUAAAAUUCACACAUUUCGAUAAUUAUCAUUUAUUCUAUAAAAAUUAUAUUCUGAUUCCCAUUCUACUAGAAUAAAAAUAAAAUUAAUUUAUUUAUGAUUCUCCUUGUACAAACCACUCAAAAUCCCUUUUUAUAAAUACCUCUCUCGCCUCACCCUUAACUAGAACUCCACUCUUAAAAUUUUAAAUAAAUAUUUCAAUUGUCUAUUCUGAUUUCAAUUUCAAAAAUGAACCAAAUAUUUUUCAAUAAUUCAUUUUUUCAUUAAUUUUCUAUUUCAAUAUAAUCUGAUUUUAUUUCUCACUGUUAUUCUAAUCAUGAACCAAAAAUGUACAAUUAUUUGAGUCGACUAAAAUAUUGUUAUUAUAAGUUGGUGAUAUGUUGUUAAUACUAUGAAGAUCUUCUUAAAUAGGUGCGUAGCUUUUUAUAUUUUAUAUACAUAUAUCAAUAUUGAUAAAUUAAUUAACUAUCUAUAAAUACAACAUUUUACAAGGAUCAAUAUCAUUACUUUGGUUUGAAUUCACAUUCGGAGACAAUUUUUUAUACCAUAGCUACGUAUUUCAUGCAAGAAUAAAAAUAUUUAUUUUAAUAGAAAAUUAUUAUAUUUUAUCUUUCAUUAAAUUGAUACGAUCUCCACUGAAACAAAUAGAGUAUUAAUUUGGGUUAUAUCACGCGUGCCAUCUCUUAAGUGUGUGGAGUCUAUUAUUAUAAAAUUAGGUUAAUUGAAUACAGAUUUUCGCAAACAUAGUGAAUUACAGAUAUAUUUCUGUAAAGUUCAACUUUUAUAAGUUAUCUCUGUAAAAGUCCUAAUGUUUUUAUAUACGUCCAUCUGGUUCGUUACCGUUAAAGAACCGUUAGAAAACUAUUUAUAUUUUCAAUUUUGCCAUCACAAAUAUAUCCCUUCAAAAGUUAUAACAGUAUAAUAUAAGAGAGGUAAAAAUGUCAAAAAUUAACUCGGGUAGAGUUUUUAACCUAUGGUUAACUAAACUUUUAUAACGGAUUCUAACGGCAAGAACAUAUCUGAAAAUAUUAGAACUUUUGUAGGAAUAACUUAUGAAAGUUGAAUUUUACAGGAAUAUAUCUGUAAUUCACUAUAUUUGUGGAGACCUAUAUGCAAUUGACCUUAUAAAAUUUGUGUAAAAUAUUUUUGACAAUACACAUAAAUAUCCAUCCUUCAC